AUUGAACGCUGGCGGCAGGCCUAACACAUGCAAGUCGAGCGGAUGAAGGGAGCUUGCUCCUGGAUUCAGCGGCGGACGGGUGAGUAAUGCCUAGGAAUCUGCCUGGUAGUGGGGGAUAACGUCCGGAAACGGGCGCUAAUACCGCAUACGUCCUGAGGGAGAAAGUGGGGGAUCUUCGGACCUCACGCUAUCAGAUGAGCCUAGGUCGGAUUAGCUAGUUGGUGGGGUAAAGGCCUACCAAGGCGACGAUCCGUAACUGGUCUGAGAGGAUGAUCAGUCACACGGGAACUGAGACACGGUCCAGACUCCUACGGGAGGCAGCAGUGGGGAAUAUUGGACAAUGGGCGAAAGCCUGAUCCAGCCAUGCCGCGGGUGUGAAGAAGGUCUUCGGAUUGUAAAGCACUUUAAGUUGGGAGGAAGGGCAGUAAGUUAAUACCUUGCUGUUUUGACGUUACCAACAGAAUAAGCACCGGCUAACUUCGUG
rnacentral:rRNA from 1 species